rnacentral:rRNA from 1 species
CCUACGGGAGGCUGCAGUGGGGAAUAUUGCACAAUGGGCGAAAGCCUGAUGCAGCAACGCCGCGUGAGCGAUGAAGGCCUUCGGGUCGUAAAGCUCUGUCCUCAAGGAAGAUAAUGACGGUACUUGAGGAGGAAGCCCCGGCUAACUACGUGCCAGCAGCCGCGGUAAUACGUAGGGGGCUAGCGUUAUCCGGAAUUACUGGGCGUAAAGGGUGCGUAGGUGGUUUCUUAAGUCAGAGGUGAAAGGCUACGGCUCAACCGUAGUAAGCCUUUGAAACUGGGGAACUUGAGUGCAGGAGAGGAGAGUGGAAUUCCUAGUGUAGCGGUGAAAUGCGUAGAUAUUAGGAGGAACACCAGUUGCGAAGGCGGCCAACUGGGCUUUAACUGACGCUGAGGCACGAAGGCCAGGGGAGCGAAAGGGAUUAGAUACCCUAGUAGUC